AUGGCGACAUCGGUACAGUGGACCGAUCUCCCUGACGAUCUCCUUCAAGUGGUCUACCUCAACGUCGGCAGCUUCCUCCACCGCGUACGCUUCGCCGCCGUGUGUAGCUCGUGGCGAGCCGUCGCGAUCACGGCCAGGCAUGCCGCGCCGCCCACCCUGCCCUGGCUCAUCUUCCCCUCCUUAUACGGCGAUGAUUGCAAAACAAUGCAUGCAUACUGCCCAGAGGACGGCAGGGUCCUGCACAUCCCGCUCAAAAGCGAGGCGCUCGUCGGCAAGCGGCUAGUGGGAGCAAAUGGCGGCGGCUGGGUCGCCGCGCUCGGGAAGGACAAGCAGCUUGAUGUUGUGAACGUGUUUUCCGGUGUUGAGUUGCUCGUCCACGCAAAGAACAUGAGGAAUGUCUACUCGGGCUCGAAGGUUGUCUUCUCGAAAUUCCCCGUGUCAAGUGACUGCAUCCUCGCCACCACCCCCCUGCGAAGCAACAUCGCCGUCUGCAAGAUUGGUUGUCUAGCCGACAGAUGGACGACAUACAUGUUUAAUGGACACAUCCUUAAGGACAUCGUAUUCUACAAUGGAAGAUUGUAUGGCCUCACCGCCUCAAUGGGCCUGAUCAAGUUCAAUAUAGGCGUGAACAAAUACGGCAGGCCUCUUGUCGCUGUUGAGGUCGAGUUGUGUAUCCAGAUUGAUAAUGAACCUUUCAUAUGGUCAACUAACAUUGUUGAGCUGCGAGGCAAGCUAGCGAUGGUGCUAGGGAAAUUACCAUUGUACAACAACUGCCACGAGCCUUUCUUCAAGGUUUUUGUGCUGGCUGAUGAGUCGACGACAAAGUAUGCUUGUAAGUGGGAGGAGGUAACGAGCUUGGGAGACUGUGCCUUAUUUUUGGGGAAAAUGUCCAGGGCGGUUGACGUGCCGGCGGUUGGACUUGGCAGGGUGCAGAGAAACCACAUCUACGCUGAUGAUAUGACAUACUUGACAAGUUUGGGUGGCAAUGGUAAUCGUGUAUAUCCUAUGCAAGAUGAAAGUAGUGACGAUGUCACGCAGAGGAUCAAAUUAGCAGGAUCUUAUGUAGCAGCUCGCGCUCAAACUGGCUUGUGGGUACUCCCUCUUGGCAUAUGGGUACUCCCUCGCUCCUUAUUUCUAGCCAACAAAGUUUCAACUUUCUUUCUAGUGUACCUGGUGUUUUGGUCACACUUACAAUAA
rnacentral:rRNA from 1 species